CUAUCCACAUCAGCAACUCUUCUAUGGUUAAUCCACAUCAGCACUGCCAAUUUUCUAUUCUCUCAAUCUUUGAUUCACGUAUCUAUUGUUAUUCCAAUUCCAAAAACGGUUUCAUUCACGUAUCUAUCGCUAUUCCAAUUCCAAAAACGGUUUCACACGUUCUCUUUUUUCUACCGAACUGUUUCUAUUCCAAUUCCAAAACGCGGUCUCUCUUUAUAUCGAUUUGUUUCUUCUUCCUCUCAAUCUUCAUACAAAACUCUCAUCCACUCUCGAUCGUGAACGGUGGUGCAACCUCUUUCUCAGAUGAAGAACACAGUUCUACUGCAUCACGUAAAAAUGCGAUGUCAUUUCGAGUUCACGCAUUAAAGAAACAAACAUGGUUGAAUUUAACUCAAGAUUUUGAUCGUAUUCAUCAAUUGUAGAUUGCAGAACUUUCAAUUUCGUUUCUGGAGCAAAUGCAGUGAUUACAUUUUGUGACAAGAUUGCAAGCCAGGGUGGCCCAGUUCAGAUAUUGGUUCUAAUUUAUAUGACUGGUCAUGCUUAUAAGCCUUAUGGUGUUUGUUAUUUGAUUUCCAAUUAUUAAUACAUUCCUUAUCAAACGAUUGGCAAUGCUCGGGUUAUUUUUGACAAGGCAGUGCAGGGUAACUAUAAAACGGUGGAUAAUUUGGUCGGUGUCUGGUGUGAGUGGGUUAAAUUAGAGUGGAAACAUAAGAAUUUUACAGGAGCAACAGAGCUUAUGAGGCGGCCUACUGCAGAGCCACCAGUCGAGGUUAAACUAAAAGUGGUGACUGAUGGGAGUCAACCGGUUCAGAUGGGACUUCAUAAAUCAUUGACAUUGUGGACCUUUUAUGCUGUUUUGGAGGAAAGUCUAGGUAAUUUGGACGUCUGUUGGAUU